rnacentral:tRNA from 1 species
GGUGGAUAUAACUUAGUCGGUUAAAGUAUUAGACUGUGACUCUAAGAACACGGGUUCGAAUCCCGUUAUUCACC